rnacentral:rRNA from 1 species
AACGAACGCUGGCGGCACGCCUAACACAUGCAAGUCGAGCGCACCUUCGGGUGAGCGGCGGACGGGUUAGUAACGCGUGGGAACAUACCCAACUCUACGGAAUAGCCUCGGGAAACUGAGAGUAAUACCGUAUACGCCCUUCGGGGGAAAGAUUUAUCGGAGAUGGAUUGGCCCGCGUUAGAUUAGAUAGUUGGUGGGGUAAUGGCCUACCAAGUCUACGAUCUAUAGCUGGUUUGAGAGGAUGAUCAGCAACACUGGGACUGAGACACGGCCCAGACUCCUACGGGAGGCAGCAGUGGGGAAUCUUAGACAAUGGGCGCAAGCCUGAUCUAGCGAUGCCGCGUGAGUGACGAAGGUCUUAGGAUCGUAAAGCUCUUUCGCCAGGGAUGAUAAUGACAGUACCUGGUAAAGAAACCCCGGCUAACUCCG